GGGGAUGAAAAGUUUUGACAGAGAUUGGACUCAUUAUAAUCAAGCCGAGGAAUAGGGGACCCUCGUUAAAAUCCCCGCCAACAUAAGUGCAAACUUAUUUAGAACACCGGCUUACGCUUUAGCAUAAGUUAAGCCCAUCUCUUCUGCCUAUCCCCGAUAAGCAGAAAGAGGUGUCACCUUUUCGGGGGAAAUAAUUGUCCUGCCCAAGACAAUUAUUUUAAUAAGGGCUCGGGCAGAAGAAGUUUUGCCGAUUUUUCAUUCUCCUGCCUUAAAAAUGAAAUCGGCUCUGCUUGGAAAAUUAUUUUGAGGAAAAUCUCUGGACGAGGAUUCGCCUCCUCCAUCUCCACCA
rnacentral:tmRNA from 1 species